rnacentral:lncRNA from 1 species
AAAUAACCCACUCACAGUUGCACAGCUAGAGGGAGAGCUGGGAUAGAUCUAUAAAGCUGCAACUCCUGUGCACACAGAAAUAUGAAGCCACUUUCACCCUCUGGAAUCCUUCAGAAGAGGAAGAAGAGCAGGAGGAGAGAGAGGAAGAAGACAACAAGAACAAGAGCAAGAACAAAGCAGCUUAUGUAAAAUACUGACAGCUUACUGCAAUUUUACAGCAUUCCUCACAAGGUGGUUCAGGUAGACUGUCAAAGCUAUUAGCACUACCUCUCCCAGCUGAAGCACCAGCAAACCCAGCAGUUCAUGACUUCUUGUGAAUUCUCUUCCUGCCUGGAGUGUUGAGGGGUUGUA